rnacentral:rRNA from 1 species
GGGCCCGCACAAGCGGUGGAGUAUGUGGUUUAAUUCGAUGCAACGCGAAGAACCUUACCAGGGUUUGACAUCCUGCGAAUCUCUUGGAAACGAGAGAGUGCCUUCGGGAGCGCAGUGACAGGUGGUGCAUGGCUGUCGUCAGCUCGUGUCGUGAGAUGUUGGGUUAAGUCCCGCAACGAGCGCAACCCACGUCUUUAGUUGCCAGCAUUUAGUUGGGCACUCUAGAGAGACCGCCGGUGAUAAACCGGAGGAAGGUGUGGAUGACGUCAAGUCAUCAUGCCCCUUACAUCCUGGGCUACACACGUACUACAAUGCUACGGACAAAGAGCAGCAAGUUCGCGAGGACAAGCAAAUCCCACAAAGCCGGUCUCAGUUCGGAUUGGAGUCUGCAACUCGACUCCAUGAAGCUGGAGUCGCUAGUAA